UACGGAGGGGGCAAGCGUUGUUCGGAUUUACUGGGCGUAAAGCGCACGUAGGCGGAUCGUUAAGUCGGGGGUGAAAUCCUGGAGCUCAACUCCAGAACUGCCUUCGAUACUGGCGAUCUUGAGUCCGGAAGAGGUGAGUGGAACUCCUAGUGUAGAGGUGGAAUUCGUAGAUAUUAGGAAGAACACCAGUGGCGAAGGCGGCUCACUGGUCCGGUACUGACGCUGAGGUGCGAAAGCGUGGGGAGCAAACAGG
rnacentral:rRNA from 1 species